GGGCCUAUAGUUUAGUGGUAAAACAAGCGCAUGGCAUGCGCUAGAUGGGAGUUCGAUUCUCCCUAGGUCCACCA
rnacentral:tRNA from 1 species